AUUGAACGCUGGCGGCAUGCCUUACACAUGCAAGUCGAACGGUAACAGGUCUUCAGAUGCUGACGAGUGGCGAACGGGUGAGUAAUACAUCGGAACGUGCCUAGUAGUGGGGGAUAACUACUCGAAAGAGUGGCUAAUACCGCAUGAGAUCUACGGAUGAAAGCAGGGGAUCGCAAGACCUUGAGCUACUAGAGCGGCCGAUGGCAGACUAGGUAGUUGGUGGGAUAAAAGCUUACCAAGCCGACGAUCUGUAGCUGGUCUGUGAGGACGAUCAGCCACACUGGGACUGAGACACGGCCCAGACUCCUACGGGAGGCAGCAGUGGGGAAUUUUGGACAAUGGGCGCAAGCCUGAUCCAGCAAUGCCGCGUGCAGGAUGAAGGCCUUCGGGUUGUAAACUGCUUUUGUACGGAACGAAAAGCCCCGGGUUAAUACCCUGGGGUCAUGACGGUACCGUAAGAAUAAGCACCGGCUAACUACGUGCCAGCCGCCGCAGUAA
rnacentral:rRNA from 1 species